UAGGGAAUUUUGCGCAAUGGAGGAAACUCUGACGCAGCAACGCCAUGUGUGGGAUGAAGCAUUUCGGUGUGUAAACCACUGUCAGCAGGGAAUAAAAGGUCCUUUGGACACUUGAAUGUACCUGCAAAGGAAGCCCCGGCUAACUUCGUGCCAGCAGCCGCGGUAAUACGAGGGGGGCAAAUGUUGUUCGGAAUCACUGGGCGUAAAGGGAGCGUAGGCGGGUGUUUAAGUUAGGUGUUUAAUUCCGGGGCCCAACCCCGGGCGUGCACUUAAAACUGGACAUCUUGAAUAGGGGAGAGGUCAGUGGAAUUGGAGGUGUAGCGGUGGAAUGCGUAGAGAUCUCCAAGAACACCAGUUGCGAAGGCGGCUGACUGGACCCAUAUUGACGCUGAGGCUCGAAAGCAUGGGGAGCAAA
rnacentral:rRNA from 1 species